GUGAGUAAUGUAUCGGAACGUGCCCAGUCGUGGGGGAUAACUGCUCGAAAGAGCAGCUAAUACCGCAUACGACCUGAGGGUGAAAGCGGGGGAUCGCAAGACCUCGCGCGAUUGGAGCGGCCGAUAUCAGAUUAGGUAGUUGGUGAGGUAAAGGCUCACCAAGCCGACGAUCUGUAGCUGGUCUGAGAGGACGACCAGCCACACUGGGACUGAGACACGGCCCAGACUCCUACGGGAGGCAGCAGUGGGGAAUUUUGGACAAUGGGCGCAAGCCUGAUCCAGCCAUGCCGCGUGCGGGAAGAAGGCCUUCGGGUUGUAAACCGCUUUUGUCAGGGAAGAAAAGGUUCUGGCUAAUACAUGGGACUCAUGACGGUACCUGAAGAAUAAGCACCGGCUAACUACGUGCCAGCAGCCGCGGUAAUACGUAGGGUGCAAGCGUUAAUCGGAAUUACUGGGCGUAAAGCGUGCGCAGGCGGUUAUGCAAGACAGAGGUGAAAUCCCCGGGCUCAACCUGGGAACUGCCUUUGUGACUGCAUGGCUAGAGUACGGUAGAGGGGGAUGGAAUUCCGCGUGUAGCAGUGAAAUGCGUAGAUAUGCGGAGGAACACCGAUGGCGAAGGCAAUCCCCUGGACCUGUACUGACGCUCAUGCACGAAAGCGUG
rnacentral:rRNA from 1 species